CUCACAAGACCACCAUUGUCCAUCUCCACACCUCUUAUAAUGGAAUCCCCCAACAACAACUGCUUUCUAUUAGGCCUCACCAUAGUCUCCAAGCCGGUCUCCACAACACCACUAGCCUCAGUGCCUCUCUCCACAACACCACUAGCCUCAGUGCCUUUCUCCACAACACCACUAGCCUCAGUGCCUCUCUCCACAACACCACUAGCCUCAGUGCCUCUCUCCACAACACCAUUACACUCUGAAAGUGCAGAAAAUGAAUUAUGAAGAGUAACAGACUGUGCAAAAUGCCUU